rnacentral:lncRNA from 1 species
GAAACCCAUCCAGAAGAAUACUGCUUCUUUAUGUUUUUGUAGAGCGGCCCAGCCCUUGGAAUGUGUUUCUGCCACGACAAGGAAUACAGGAGGAGUUGAACAGGAAACCUGCCUCCUAUCAGAUUCACCUGAGGACGUGGGUUGUCACGAGCUCCCCAAACAAUAAAGCACUUUACGACAUAGGAGGCAUUAUUAUUAAGCUGUUUUCAGUCCCUGAUACCUGCAUGUUGUAGGACCAUGGUGCAUGAAGGAUUUUAAGGAGGCACUUUUGAAAUGUGAAAGGGACAUAGACUGUACAUCUGGAGCACAAAGGCAGGUUUAACCAGCUUUGUCCUGCUCGGCGCCAGUUGGAAGAGAGCAUCUGGCUUUGAAGUGUCUAAAGCCAGGCGUGACGCUGGAUUCUACAGCUGGGUUUUGCUUUGUCACCCAGGCUGGAGUGCAGUGCCAUGAUGGAGCUCAGUGCAGCCUUCAAUCCCUGGGCUCAAGGAAUCCUCUCACCUCAGCCUCCCAAAUAGCUAGGACUACAGGUGAGAUCGGCACUGGCUCCAAGG